rnacentral:lncRNA from 1 species
AAAAGCAUAGGGGCAGGCCUUAGCCCUCUGGUCAGGGAGCUGCUUGCUACAGGUGCCAUGUUCCAUGUGUCCCUGGACAAGUUCAAGGAUGGUUUUCUCGCUGAAGAGGAUGGUUUAGGAAGGGGGUGGGUGGGAGGGACUUAGGCUGGUCUGAGAGACCAGUCAUUCUCCUUAGGGUCCUGUGGUUCCUGAAGUUUCCCUUUUCUUCUGGAAUGGGGAUGACCUUUGAACACCUCUUAUAACCCACCUACCCAGACUAAAAGUUUUGUAAAGCCCCAGGUUCAAUCCCCAGCACUACAAAACAAAACAAAAAAAAACCACCAUGAAGUUCAGAGCACAUUUUUAACACUUUUUACAUUUUUAGAUAAAUAUCUAAAUAAAGUGGUGUAUGGUUUUUUGC